rnacentral:tRNA from 1 species
GCCUUCAUGGUGUAACGGUAGCACAGCGCGUAUUCGAGAAGUCCAGGUUCAAGUCCUAGCGAGGGCA